CUAUCCAGUUCAUUAGCACUCUUCAUCCUCCUUUGCUGUAACCUUAAAGUCUACGCCUGCUUAUGCAAAAUCUUAGUGCAGAAAACACAGCUGGGAGAGUCUUUGGAUAUGUUAAAAGAGGACUGCUUCACAGAUAUCCUUCAGUUGGACUGAUAUUCUGCAUCACUAAGCUUUAAAAUAAGCUGGAGGAGCAAAGGCCUGGAGCCCGGGAGAACGGAGGAGCAGGGGGAAGGGAACACAGGGCUCAGCUGAGAGAUGGCGUUUAUGGGUUAUCUGGACAGGCUCCAUAUAGAUUCAACAGGCAAAUUCGAUGUCCACCAAAGCUCGUGCCAGCAUGCUGCUCUUGAUGGCAUGUGGCUUUGCUCUGCUCCACGGUAGGCGAGGCGACGGAAGAGCACGUGCCCUGCGGCAAGCUAAGGAGCACGUCGCAGACUGGCCAUUGCCGUGGCAGCCGUCUUGCAAACUCCCAGUGACCUCAGACAACAACGACAAAAAGGCUAAAUGUGAAAGUUCCCUAGUGUGUUGUUCUUUUGUUUUGGUUUGGUUUUUUGUUUUUUAACAUUUUCUUGUCGUUUUUGGAAAUAAGUAUUGCUGUUAACAGCUUUUAACAAGUCUGUUUUUUCUUUCUGCUAAAAAAUGGAACCAAGUGAAAAUAUGGGAGUCUUUUAAGGUCCUCCUUCAAUCUUCCCAUUGAAUUUGAACACAAAAAAAAAAAAAAAAACACAAAUAAAACAGUGUUGAGGCUUAAAAGAGAAAAGCUAUGAGAAUUAGGACUUGUUUUAUGGCAUUUUAUGCAAGUAUUCUUACCAGAAGAAAAAAAAAAGGAGAAAAAUAAAUAUUAUGUUAUCUAGUCAGUAUGCGUUGUUUAAUCUAAAUGGCAGUACUUUUCUUUUUCAACUGCUUUGGGAGACAAUUAUCUCCCUCAUUUUCGCAAUUGAUUUUCUUAGCUGAGUUAUCUUUAGGCUGUUUUUGUGUAACAGCAAAAUAAAAAUAUUCCAAUAGUAAUUGUUGUGGAGCAUGAUCAUGUGUGUAGGAUGACACGCAACUGAAUAGCCUCUAAAGCUCCCCUGUCUUUGUCUAAGACUUCGUGCUGAGUUGGAUAUGUCAUUAUUAGCCUGAUAAUUGCCCAGAGUCAAAUACAACUUGUCUAUGAGCAUCAGAGUUAAUAAAGCCUGGUUUGCUGCA